rnacentral:rRNA from 1 species
CCUACGGGAGGCUGCAGUGGGGAAUAUUGCACAAUGGGGGAAACCCUGAUGCAGCGACGCCGCGUGAGUGAAGAAGUAAUUCGUUAUGUAAAGCCCUAUCAGCAGGGAAGAAAAUGACGGUACCUGAGUCAGAAGCCCCGGCUAACUACGUGCCAGCAGCCGCGGUAAUACGGAGGGGGCAAGCGUUAUCCGGAUUUACCGGGUGUAAAGGGAGCGUAGACGGCAGUGCAAGUCUGGAGUGAAAGGCGGGGGCUCAACCCCCGGACUGCUCUGGAAACUGUACGGCUGGAGUGCAGGAGAGGUAAGUGGAAUUCCUAGUGUAGUGGUGAAAUGCGUAGAUAUUAGGAGGAACACCAGUGGCGAAGGCGGCUUACUGGACUGUAACUGACGUUGAGGCUCGAAAGCGUGGGGAGCAAACAGGAUUAGAUACCCGAGUAGUC